GAUGAACGCUCGCGAUAGGCUUAACACAUGCAAGUCGAGGGGCAGCAUGGUCUUAGCUUGCUAAGACUGAUGGCGACCGGCGCACGGGUGCGUAACGCGUAUGCAACUUGCCUCACAGAGGGGGAUAACCCGUCGAAAGACGGACUAAUACCGCGUACACUUGGGAUAGGGCAUCCUGACCCAAGGAAAUGAAAUUCGCUGUGAGAUAGGCAUGCGUCCCAUUAGCUAGUUGGUGAGGUAACGGCUCACCAAGGCGACGAUGGGUAGGGGAACUGAGAGGUUGAACCACCGCGCUGGUACUGAGACACGGACCAGACUCCGACGGGAGGCAGCAGUGAGGAAUAUUGGUCAAUGGGCGAGAGCCUGAACCAGCCAAGUCGCGUGAAGGAUGACUGUCUUAUGGAUUGUAAACUUCUUUUAUACGGGAAUAACAAGAGUCACGUGUGGCUCCCUGCAUGUACCGUAUGAAUAAGCAUCGGCUAACUCCGUG
rnacentral:rRNA from 1 species